rnacentral:lncRNA from 1 species
GGUUCAGCUCCUUUCUCUCUCCUGCCUCUCAAAAAGAUGCUAUUCCUGUGAUUAAAACCAUUACAGUGCUUCAAAGGUUAUACAUGACUUUCAGGCUUCAACCUCAAUAGAAGCAGAAUCUACCAUCAGUCUCUGAUUGACUUUGAACGGAUUUAGAUCUUCAAACACCUCAAAACAGAUGAAGAGUUUUAGAGCUUCACCAAAUGACAGGAUCCACUCAUAUGUACAUGCAGCUAAUUAUAUUUGUUAUUUUUUCCAGUCUUAUUGUCUAAUGUUUUAGUGACUUUAUUAACAUAAAAAUAUUGCAUAAAUAGUAAAGCUGGACACAGAUCUCUGUACUGAAGAAUUAAUGCCCAAAUCACUUAAUUGUUAUUUUAAUGCAUUUCUGUAAUAAGUCCAGCAAAGCAUGUUAUUAUGUGCCAUUGGAAUUACAAACAAUUGUGAAUACCAGAAUCACAACAAACAAGUGAAAAAGUGAAAAGCAUGGAAACUAAUAUUUCCAAUUUUGCUAUUAUCAUGGGUAAUAUAUACUAAUUCUCUGUGUGUAACAAAAUAAAAAUUAUCUGAAAUAUUAUUUCACUUUUAAACCCUUUUACAAAUAAUGCAAUAUGUAAAUAAACACAGAAGUGGAAAAAUAAAUAAUGAAGAGUGAAGGUCAAAUAAAGUAGACCCUGAAUUAUAAAUAACCAAUAGUAAACAAUCUGUACAUUCCUUGCCCACCUUUUUCAUGAUCUGAAACUUUUCUGUAGCUGCCAUGACAGUCAUUCUUAAAAAAAAAAAAUCUACUCUUUUUGUUUGACAUGGAGUCUCGCUCUGUCACCCAGGCUGGAGUAGCUGGGACUACAGGCACAUGCCACCAUGCUGGGCUAAUUUUAUAUUUUUAAUAGAGAUGGGGUUUCACCAUGCUAGCCAGGCUGGUUUCAAACUCCUGACCUCAGGUUAUUCACCCUCCACAGCCUCCCAAAGUGCUGGGAUUACAGGCAUGAGUCACCACACCCGACCUUUUCUAAUUUUUUUAUGAUGAUGUAUUUAGUGUUCAGAAGUAGAGAAAGGGGCAAGCUGUGAAAAUAUAUAGUGCUUAGGGGAUUGAAUCUCACCACAGUCUGCCUCGAAUGUAACCUCUUCGAUAAAUAAUACUUUCUCCAAUAUUGACUGUUUAAAAACAUGACAUAAUAAACAAAAAGAGUGCUUUUUCACGUUAUUACAUUUGCUGAAGAUAUACUUAUUCAGGAUUUUUCACGGGCUACUAAGUAUUCUUUUAACAAAAUGAAAAUGCCUACCAGUGUUGGGGAGGGGGUCGGUCUUAGAAGUUUACAUUUUAGUAUGAACAGAUUCAACUAUAUUGUUCAAAUAGCUAAAAUUAAUUGCAUUGAGAGAUUUGAAUUUUUUCCCUUGUGCAUUUUCAGUUGUAGAAUAAAGGGAUGGGCCACACAGGCCUGAGGAGGGGCAAAAGGAACUGACGAUGGAGUGCAGGAAGGAGGCUAGGAGGAUACCACUAAAAUUCAUUUGGCCCAUAGGGGAAAAGGAGGAAAAACUUUCUUUGAUGAUGCAGAAUGAUUCCUUAAGGGCUGAGACACAGUCUAGUAGUAGCAGUGCUUGUGUUCCUAUGAUAUGGUUUUACUUAGAUGAGUUACCCUGGGAAUCUUUUAUUGAUUCUUUUUACAUAUUUGAUAUUUUGUACAUAAUAUUUCUUAUAUAGAAAACUAUGUCUUGGAUAACUUACAAUCAUCUGACACUUAAAUCUUUGGAGUACUAUCCAUUUGUGGAUAGGACCACUGUAUUAGAACACAAAGAUCAACAUCUGAAUGUUUAAAAAGUCAGCUGUCAUAUCCAAGAAAACACAUUUCCCUGCAAUUUAGUGAUAACAUUGAAUAACCUUCAUUUUGUAGCAUUUGGAAGGACUUUGCUUAUCAGAUGACACUUCCCUCUAUAGCACAUAUUAGGUAUUUUUAGAUAUGCUGGAAAUAUACUUGCAAAGUCCAUCUAUUAGAUAAAGACCAACUUUAACAAGUGACAACUACAAAUGAAUAACUUUUUGAGUCCAAGACAUUUGAUGCCAUAUUUUCAAAAUUAAUAAUAAUUUUUUUAAUUUUAACAGAGCUGAGCAAAUACUUGGUAACAACUACUUUGUGCUUAUAAGCAUUACAUGUUAUUGAAUCUUAUAAAAAUGCAAACGUUAAAAUAGCCUGAUGGUAGUUUUCAUUAAGAAUUUGAUGAAUUAUCUUAAUAGACAAGUUUUUAUAAUGUGCCAACAUUUUGAAUAAUUGAUAAUGCUUUUAAAAGGAUUUAUAAUUAUUUUUUCUUUAAAAUUAUGUACUUUACUAUUUCCAAUAGGUACCAAUGAAACAUAUUUAGUACACAUGUUUUUACUUUUCCCUCUGAAGGUAACUUUUUACUUUAUAUUUAAUUUUUAAAUACAAAGAAAUGUAAAAAUGAUAUCAUAUACAACUUAGACUUUUAUGUACUUUUAUACUGAAAUAGUUAUUAAAAAGCUUUUAUAAAAAUGGAUAUAAAUAAUAUCAAGUAGUUAUAAAUUUAAUUAAUUUAAACCUGUGAUUGAAAAUGUGGACACUUCCAGAAAAGUUUAAUGUAAAAAUCUAUCAUAUGAAAUGAAUUAUUAAACAUAAUGUCAAAGGUUUAAUGUGGAAAAAUAUUUGUCCCAGGAAAAUAAUCCUGAUUGAACAUUAUAGUCCAAAGUUCAUAUUUAACUCAAAAUAUUAGGAAGAUUAAGUGAUUCUCUGAACAGCAGUGAGAAGUGUGUAGAAGACGGAGGUCACUCUUUGAAAGAAGAUCUCUGUGACCUGUGUAAAUUAGAGCCCCACAAACACUUCCAACAAGCAUAGGUCAGAAUAGGGUCAUGGCUCCAGGCCCUCUGGACCACAGUUCACCCAGAGGAGUGUGCUCACCGCGUUAAUCUCUCGUCCUUCAGUUCCAGGUCUGCCACUGUGAUGAGCUGAU